CCUACGGGUGGCUGCAGUGGGGAAUAUUGGACAAUGGGGGCAACCCUGAUCCAGCCAUGCCGCGUGUGUGAAGAAGGCCCUCGGGUUGUAAAGCACUUUCAGUGAGGAAGAACGCCUGGUGGUUAAUACCCAUCAGGAAAGACAUCACUCACAGAAGAAGCACCGGCUAACUCCGUGCCAGCAGCCGCGGUAAUACGGAGGGUGCGAGCGUUAAUCGGAAUUACUGGGCGUAAAGCGCGCGUAGGUGGCUUGAUAAGCCGGUUGUGAAAGCCCCGGGCUCAACCUGGGAACGGCAUCCGGAACUGUCAAGCUAGAGUGCAGGAGAGGAAGGUAGAAUUCCCGGUGUAGCGGUGAAAUGCGUAGAGCUCGGGAGGAAUACCAGUGGCGAAGGCGGCCUUCUGGACUGACACUGACACUGAGGUGCGAAAGCGUGGGUAGCAAACAGGAUUAGAUACCCGUGUAGUC
rnacentral:rRNA from 1 species